AUGGAACCAGCUGUUUUUCUGACUUCUAUUGAAUUUUUAGGAAUCUCAAAAUCAAGCAAAUUUGAUCCACCAACUGGACCCUCUUUGGAAGACAAUACUCUGAUAUGUGAGGCUAAAGGUGAAUCCUUUGAAUCAAAAUACUUCGGCUAUUCCUUCUUGAGUCGUCUGUUUUCUGCAGGAAUCUCAAAAUCAAGCAAAUUUGAUCCACCACCUGGCCCCUCUUUGGAAGACAAUACUCUGGUCCCUGUGGCAAACGGUGAAUCCUCUGAAUCAGAAUACUUCUCCUGCUAUUCCUCCUUGAGUCAUCUGUCUUCUGCAGGUAAGGGGCAAGGAAAGGCAUGCAAAGUCAAGAAGAUUAGGGCAGUGGGAGCCUGAACAGACUGGUAGACACCCAGCUAAGCAUCUCUCAGCUAGUGGGAGAAAGGUACACAUCAGACCCAGUUAUAAUCUUAUCCUCAUCUGUUACUUGGGAAUCCGAGUCUCUUGUUUUUGUAUCCUCACUAGGAACUGAAUACAAACAGUUUUCAUGGGGGAGCCUGGGUGGCUCAGAUGUUUAGCGCCACCUUCAGCCCGGGGCCUGAUCCUCCAGACCUGGGAUCCAGUGCCUUGGUGGGCUCCCUGCAUGGAGCCUGUUUCUCUCUCUGCCUGUCUCUCUCUCUCUCUCUCUCUCUCUCUCUCUCCCUCUGUCUCUCAUGAAUAAAUAAGUAAAUAAUCUAAAAAAACA
rnacentral:lncRNA from 12 species